rnacentral:snRNA from 1 species
GUGCUCGCUUUGGCAGCACAUAUACUAAAGUUGGAACUAUACAGAGAAGAUUAGCAUGGCUCCUGGGCAAUAAUUCAUGUAGCAUUCCAUAUUUUA